rnacentral:rRNA from 1 species
UACGAAGGGUGCAAACGUUGCUCGGAAUUAUUGGGCGUAAAGCGCACGUAGGCGGCAUUGCAAGUCGGAUGUGAAAUCUUAUGGCUUAACCAUAAAAGUGCAUCCGAAACUGCAGUGCUUGAGUACUUAAGAGGAUCGCGGAAUUCCCGGUGUAGAGGUGAAAUUCGUAGAUAUUGGGAAGAACACCGGUGGCGAAGGCGGCUCACUGGCUCAUAUCUGACGCUCAGGCGCGACAGCGUGGGGAUCAAACAGG